GAUGACGAUUGCAAGGAUGCUUGUCCACCAAAUUGCACAGCUAAAUGUUUUCAUUGCUUUUGCUUAUGCUAUUGUAGUGCUUGAAAAUUAUAUUGUUUUUCAUUCAAAGGACCUCGAAUUUAAGCCUUUUAAUAAUUUGUACUAAAAAAUUGGUACAUAAAAUGAAUGAAUAGAUAAAGGUGUUGAGAGAAUUAAUAGUCUUUAUUAUACUAAAAACGACUUUAUCGAUCUUGAAAAAAUAGAUGUAAGCUAAUAGUUAAAAUCAUGCUUCUAAUUGAAAUAUAAAUGAUGUAUUUGUGUUAUAUUUAUGUUCUUUUUUAUGUUAGGUUAUAUUUAUAUUGUGUAAUCAUGUCAUAUCUAGCAUGAUAAAAUUUACUUUAAAAAGACUUCUAACACUGAUGGGAACCUGAAUCGAAGGCGAGAUUCACAAAGUAGGAGCACCUUGUUGGAUUGGGUCGUGCGUCGCAUGCUUAGUAAGGUUUGAACCCCUCCCCUUUAUAUGGCACCUAAGGAUUUGAACCAAACAAACACCUCAACAAGUCGCUAUUGUCUUUGGAUCAACCCAUGUUUUGUGUCCCAACUCUACGGCAAACUUGAGCGCCUGAGACUACUUGAAGAGACAAUGGAUUCAUAAAGCAGAAGUGCCUCAUUUGCCUGUGGUAGAGUAUGAAAACCUGAACCUAUAUCAUAUAGGUCACCUGAUUAAGUGGCAAUGUAUGUGCCCUAAUGCAAAUAUAAGGGCAAGGGUUUAAACCUUACCAAGCACACAAUGCUCACAUUCCUUUAAUAGGUGAUUCACAGUCUGGUCCAACGUGGUGUUCUUACUUUAUAAGCGUCAUAUUCGACUUGAGGAUGGAUGAUGAAGUCAACCUCCUCUUUACUUUUUCUUAUAUUUCAAAUUUUUUUUGAACAAUUUUAUUAUAGGUUUUGAUUAUAUCUGCUCUAUGUGAGACAAUACCUAGAACUAUCUAUAACCCCUCCCCAACUCAUAAAUAGAAGGAUAAUGCGCUUCAACGCACUCGAACCCACGUCCUCCUACAUUAUCAACAACGCACAUGCCAAUCAAGCUGAGACUUGCUCAGCAAAUUUGAAAUCAUUUUUACAUGCAUUUCAAAUAUUUAAUAUAUGUAAAUUUUCUUAUUUGAUAUAUAUAAUUUUUUUUAAGAAGAAAGAAGAAGAGACGGCGAGAAGUUGAAAGCUUUUAAAUUCCAUUUCGACUAACUUUUUAUAUAAAUAUAUAUACAAAAGGAAGGUAAUCGUAUUACACGUGGCAGCCAAAUCAUGCUCUCUCUUUUUUGGGUUUUACCAAAAUGUUUAAAUUUCAGUUUUGAUCCCUCUAAUCUUCUCCUUACAAAUGGCCCACCCAAACCGUGCUCCCUUUCUUUUUCUCUUUGUACCAAAAUGGUUAAAUUUCUAUUUUGGUACCUCUAAAAUGUUGAAAUUUAAGAUUUAAUUUCUAUAAUUUAAUUUUUAACGUAAAUUGAUCCUUAUAUUUUUAUUAUGUUAUUAAUUAGUCGAAAUAGUUAGUAUCAUUAACUUUUUUUUGUUAAAAUAUUACGUGAGAGUCUUAGAGACUGGCACAUUAUUUUCUAUUUCCUUUAUGUUUGCAUUAGUCUUACCUUUUUUCUUUUCUUUUUUUACUGUUCGAGAAAAAUAAUUAAAUUUUAAUUUUGGUCUCUCUAUCAUACCUAAAUUUGAUAUUUAACUUGUACACUUUAAUUUCUAAUGCAAUUUGGUCAUUGUAUUUUUAUAGCGUUAUUAAUUAGUACAAAUAGUUCAUAUCAUUAAGUUUUUGAUUAAAAUAUUACAUGGUUAUAUAUAAUUUCCAGACAGUCUUAGACACAGAUACAUACUGUUUUUUUAUUUCUUUUAGGUUUGUGUUGUUGCUUUGUUUUUUAAUAUUUUGUACAUUAUUAGACAAUGAUCAAACUUCAGCUUUAGACUUUUACUUUUAUAAUAUCUUUAGUUAGUUUAAAUAUUUAAUAUUAUUUAUUUCAAUAAAAAUGUUGACAUCAAUUUUUCUUAGGAACAAUAUUUCAACAAAAAAAUUUAUUUUAUCAUGAUGCAUUCGAACGAAUGCUUUUAAGAAAAAAUCCAUAUAAACAUUUUCUAUACUAUUUUAUUGUUACAUGAUUAACAAAUGAUUUUUUGUUUAAUUUCAAAAUGUCACAUCAAUAAAAUUUAUAAUAAGAAAAUGGUCAAAUACCAUUUUUGGUCCCUCUACUAUCCCUAAAAUUAAUAUUUGAUCUUUUUAUAAAGGAAGGUCCUUUACCUUGACACGUGUCUGGCCCUUCCGUCUUCUACGCCAUACAUACAAUAAUGGAAAAAUAUCACUUUUGGUCCCUCUACUAUUCUUAAAAUUAAGACUUAAUCUUUAUACUUGAAUUCUACAAUAAUUUGUUCCUACUUUUAUAAUGUUUAGUCCAAAUUGUUAAUAUUGUUGACUACUCUGAUUAAAUUUUUUACAUAGAUUUUUAAAAGAAAAUAUAUUACUAAUAAAAAUAUUAUUUUGGCAUGAUGAGUUUGAAUAAAUUUUUUAAGUUUUUAUAAAUUAUAUAAUAAUGGACAAAUUUAAAUUUUUGAAGUUAUUAUAAAUGGCUAAAAUGUAACAUGAGGUAAAUAAAAGUUACUAUUUUAGAAGUUUACCCAAAAAUGAAACAUGAAUGAUUUUUUGGAUGUAAGAUAUAAUCACCAAGUUAUAUAAAUCCUAACUUAAUAAUUUGACUUAAAUUUUAAAAACAAUUAUUAUCUUUGUUUAGAAAAAUAUUUUCAAUUUAUUGCAAUUUAUAAAAAAAAUAUUAAUAUGGUAAAUGCUUUGAGUACACAGAUUCGAGUUUCGCGAUAAAUUAUUGAAAUAUGUGUCUUCAAUUGUACCAUGUGUGUAUAAUAUGUGUAAAUUUUGUUCAAUUCUUUUUUUUUAGAUUCUUCAUCUAUUAUGCUUUGUACUAGUUUGAUUUUACAUUAUAGUUGGUUAAACAUACAUUUGUACUUAUAUUAUAUUUGUGAAAGUAUUGCAUUUAUUAUAAGGGAUAAAUCUAAAUUUUAUACAUGAACUUUGAUUUAAUGUGCAUUAAUAUACAUUAACUUUAAUUUGGUGCAAUUAUACACGUGAAACUCUUAUUGUGGUUCAAAUGUACACUUGAAACUUUAAUUUUGAUUUAAAUCAUGCACAUUUUAAAAAAUAAAUACAUCAAUUAUUUUUAUAUUAGAUAAAUAUAAUUAUUUUAUGUAUGCAAUAUAUAAACAUAAAAUGAUGAUAUAUCAAUAAUUAUGUCAAAUCAAAAUUUCAAGUGUAAAAUUGCACAAAAUCAAAUUUCAUGUAUACAAUUACACAUUAAAUCAUAAAUCAUGUAUAGUUUUGGUAUUUAUCUUUAUUUAUAAUAGUGAAACUUCCAAAAAAAAUUGUUAUAUAUGGCAACUCUAUCUGUCUUACUUUUGUUCUUAUCCUUAUUAUACCAUAAGUUAUGUGUAAAUUAAGUUGUAAAUUUAUUAUUUUCCUAUUUGAGAUUUUUUAUUGUGCUACAUAAUUGGCAAGUAUAUCAUCAACUAGAUAUUGCAUCAUUUAAUAUUAGGUUCAAAAGGGUCCAAAAAUUCAGCUAUAAAAUGUCCAAUAUAUCUCAUAAAUUGUGCAUCACCGACUCAUUUUCAUAAUAUAAUCGACUCUAAAUUUCAUCUCUCAACAUCUUUCAAACAAUGGCUUCUUUUGGUGUUGCUUGUUUUUUCAUUGUUUUGAUCAUGGCAUUUGGUUAGUGUAUAUAAUCUUUAUUUACUUCGAUAUUUAAUCAUAAUAUACAUAUACAUAUCUUUUUUUUUUGUACAAAAGAUAUUGCGAUCUUAAGAUAAAAUGAGAGACUGCAAUUGUUGAGAUUCAAAUCUCAUUUGUCUUAGAUUCAUAGUAUAUAUAUGCAUCAAUAUCUAAUUAAAAAAUUAAAUAAAACAAAUAAAUGAUGAAAAUUUGUUGUUUAAUUUGCAGGUCUAUCAAACUCGGAAGCAUGUACUCAUGACUCGGAGUGUCAAUUGAACUGUGAUCAUCUUGGUCUUUGUGACUUAAAAACCAAUAAAUGUAGUUGCUUGCCGGUGUCUAAGCCAUUACCCUUUGAUGGUGUACCGAUGGCGAAUGCUAAAUGCAGCACGGAUGACGAUUGCAAGGAUGCUUGUCCACCAAAUUGCACAGCUAAAUGUUUUCAUUGCUUUUGCUUAUGCUAUUGUAGUGCUUGAAA
rnacentral:lncRNA from 1 species